AUGCCGCUCCGCGACGGCUGCCGGCGGCAGCUCCAGCGCGCCCGCGGCCUCUGUCUCGCCGCGGCGCUGUGCGUGCUCGCGCUCGCGCUCGUGUCGGACGCCUCGCCGACACCGGUGUCGCUGCUGGGCAUCAACUACGGCCGCGUGGGGAACAACCUGCCGCCGCCGCAGGCCGCCCUGCCCCUGCUCCAGGGCCUCGGCAUUGCCCGCGUGCGGCUCUACGACCCCGAGCCCGGCGUGCUGCGCGCCUUCGCCAAGACCGGGAUCGAGCUCUACGUCGGCGUGCCCGACCAGUGCCUCGCCGCGGUCGCCGAGCCAGCCGGCGCCACGUCCUGGCUCAAGGACAGCAUCCUGCCCUACCUGCCCGACACCAAGAUCGUCGCGCUCACCGUGGGCAACGAGGUGCUCACGGGCAACGACACCGCGCUCACCCGCAACCUGCUCCCGGCCAUGGAGUCCCUCCACGGCGCGCUCGCCGCGGCCAACCUCGACAAGCAGAUCGCCGUGACGACCGCGCACAACCUCGGCGUCCUCGGGACGUCCUACCCGCCCUCCGCGGGGGCCUUCCGGAAGGACCUGCUCCAGUACCUCUGCCCCAUCCUCGACUUCCACGCCAAGACCGGCUCGCCGUUCCUGGUGAACGCCUACCCCUACUUCGCCUACUCCGACGACCCCAAGGGCAUCCACCUGGACUACGCUCUUCUCGAGCCGAGCAACCCCGGCGUCCCGGACGCCAACACCGGGCUGCACUAUCCCAACCUCCUCGUGGCGCAGGUCGACGCCGCGUACCACGCCAUCUCGGCGGCGAACAGCGCGGCGGCGCGGGUGGUCGAGAUACGGAUCUCCGAGACGGGGUGGCCUUCCGCAGGGGACGCGAACGAGAAGGCCGCGACGCCGGAGAGCGCGGCCCGGUACAACAGCAACGUGAUGCGGCUGGUGGCGGAGUGGAAGGGCACGCCGCUCAAGCCCAACGUGCCGCUGCGCGUCUACGUGUUCGCGCUGUUCAACGAGAACAUGAAGCCCGGGCCGGCGUCCGAGCGCAACUACGGCCUGUUCAAGCCCGACAGCACGCCGGUGUACCCGCUCACGUACAAGCCUGCGCACGGCGACUUCACCCCCGGCGGCAACAGCACCGGCGGAGACAACGACUACUACGACAUCUCGGCCGCGUCGCGGGAGCCCACGGGUCGGCGGUGGACAUGGGCGCAAGCUGCUGUGGCAGGAGGUGCUGCUGCCGCCCUCAUGGUUGCAGCCUGA
rnacentral:rRNA from 1 species